GUAAGCCAGGAUUAGCAUUGCUGAAGAGGAAUGAAAUAUAAUUGAUGUGAACUUAAAGGAUUUUCCCUCGGACUGUGCACGAGAUGGAAUUGCUCUGGGGAUGAAUAAGAGGUGCACCUUGAACAAAUGCAGGUAACAAGCCCAUAGAAGUGCAUGAGCAUGUCUGUGAUUUUAGAGGAAGGGGAGAAGUCUGAAUCAAGUACUCCAGAGAAUGCUUUUCUAACAUGAAAAUGGCAAGAUCUGAUAUUGGUAUGAUUCAGCUGGUGUUUGUAAUCCACCAUCUCUGCAGAAACAGGUACAAAACUCCAGAAACAU